GGGCGCGUAACUCAGCGGGAGAGUGCCACCUUGACGUGGUGGAAGUCGUAGGUUCAAUCCCUGCCGCGCCCA
rnacentral:tRNA from 1 species